GACGAACGCUGGCGGCGUGCUUAACACAUGCAAGUCGAACGGGCCCGCCCCUGUUUUUGGGGGUGGGUUGAGUGGCGAACGGGUGAGUAUCACGUGAGUAACCUGCCCCCUGCUCCUGGAUAACUGCUUGAAAGGGCGGCUAAUACGGGGUGUGCCGGCUGGUCCGCAUGGGCCUGGUCGGGAUAGUUUCAUCUUCGGGUGUUUCGGUGGGGGAUGGGCUCGCGGCCUAUCAGCUUGUUGGUGGGGUGAUGGCCCACCAAGGCGGUGACGGGUAGCCGGCCUGAGAGGGUGGGCGGCCACACUGGGACUGAGACACGGCCCAGACUCCUGCGGGAGGCAGCAGUGGGGGGUAUUGCACAAUGGGCGGAAGCCUGAUGCAGCGACGUCGCGUGAGGGAUGGAGGCCUUCGGGUUGGGAACCUCCUUCUCCGGUGGUGAAGGCCCUGUCCGUUGCGGCGGGGUUGACGGUAGCCGGGUAUGAAGCGCCGGCUAACUACGUG
rnacentral:rRNA from 1 species